rnacentral:rRNA from 1 species
UGCCAGCCGCCGCGGUAAUACGGAGGGCGCGAGCGUUACCCGGAUUUACUGGGCGUAAAGGGCGUGUAGGCGGCUUGGGGCGUCCCAUGUGAAAGGCCGAGGCUCAACCUUGGAGGAGCGUGGGAUACGCUCAAGCUAGAGGGUGGGAGAGGGUGGUGGAAUUCCCGGAGUAGCGGUGAAAUGCGCAGAUACCGGGAGGAACGCCGAUGGCGAAGGCAGCCACCUGGUCCAUUUCUGACGCUGAGGCGCGAAAGCGUGGGGAGCGAACCGGAUUAGAUA